UACAUAGGGUGCAAGCGUUGUCCGGAAUUAUUGGGCGUAAAGAGCUCGUAGGUGGUUCGUCACGUCGGAUGUGAAACUCUGGGGCUUAACCCCAGACCUGCAUUCGAUACGGGCGAGCUUGAGUAUGGUAGGGGAGUCUGGAAUUCCUGGUGUAGCGGUGGAAUGCGCAGAUAUCAGGAGGAACACCAAUGGCGAAGGCAGGACUCUGGGCCAUUACUGACACUGAGGAGCGAAAGCGUGGGGAGCGAACAGG
rnacentral:ncRNA from 2 species